AUAAAAAAAGAUUCUUGGAAAAAUUAUUAUCGAAGAAAAAAUGUACAAGAUUAAAAGUGAUAUACUUAUAUUGAUUAUAUUGAUAAAAAAAUUAUCAAAAUUGUAAAUUAAAUGACAGCUCUGUAUUAACUUAAUCCGGAUCAAAAAAGUGUAACAAGUUUCGUAAUUGAAUUGUCCAAACAGAAAACAAAGAAAUAACAGAAAUUAUACGAGAUGCUUAUAUAUUAUUGGCAAAAAUUCUAUUGUAAGACACUCCCCCUUAUCGAUAUGAGAUUAACUAUUAUCGAAGUUCGAUUAAAAAUGAAGAUAUUCACAAAUGAUUCGAUCAUUGUAGUUUAUUUGAUUUUUUUAACGCGUUUAGAAGCGCCGUAAAAUUUUCAACUCGUAUCAUUUUUUCAUUCGCACCGUUUUUUAUCAUAUCAUAUCAAAAUUCGUGAAGAACGAAUUCAUGAAAACGAAACGAAAAAUUCUUCGCCCUUUUCAAUCAAGACAAAAAUUCCUUCUUUCGAAUCGAUCACUCGAGACCUUCCGUUUCUUCCAUUGACGAACAUUAUUUUUAGUUUCCAGAGCUUUUCCAGCGGAAAAUAUUCGUGAUCAGAAAGCAAAAAAAAAAGAACUCGCGACCUCGAUUUUUCGAAACACGUCACUUGUGUUCUUCGGUUCUUAUCGAGUCAUGAAUUGUUAAUUGGACGUUACGUAUUAUCGACUUUUCAGCAAUCGUACAAUUUACACACUAACUGCACCGUGAUGGGACACGUUCACUGGGAUCGAGAUCGAGACACGCUGGAGAAUAGGUUCACCAACAGCCGCCACUCAAGAACGACUUAACAGUGUCCACCUUCGAUUUAUCAUCGGCUAUACGCAACUUCUCCUACCUCCUCACCGUUCCAUCAUCCGCUAUCGAUACGCCAAUAAAUUUAGACGAGAUACAUUCAGGGAGAGAGAGAGAGCUACAAUAACGAUAUUGGUAGAGAUAAAAAAGAAGAGAUAAAAUUCGAUCACGAUGAAGGAAUAAUAAUGGAUAUUUAAAUGUGAUCACGACGAAUGUUGUAUGAACACUGGAACAAACGCAACUCGAGAAAAUAUAGAUGAAAUACACGUAGCUUCUGGUAAAUGCGUUUCAUGACCUCGUUCUUAUCGGGACGAGGAGUCAAUCGAUGACCGCCCGCAAAUCACAGAUUGCCAUGCAUAAGGAAUAAAAUACUCGUGUUUCAUUUUAAUUUGAUGAUUACAAUCUAUAUCAAUUUAUAUAAUUAUAUUUUUCAUCUUUUAAAAAAAUGAAGAAAAAUACCAAAGCUGAUUUUACAUCGUAUGGUCAACGACUCGGUCAACAACGAGCUCCCUCACAAUAACUCUAUAAAUCUCGGGACAGGAUUUCUGCGAAUCGGAAGUCAUAAUGCUGUCGUUUCCACUUCUGAUGCUCGAUGGAACGUUGCAUAUAGAGUUGUUUGCCAGUUUUCUUUCGCUACCUCGGAAAUGAUCUCAUUUGCGCGGUAUAGAAAUAUCUUGAUGAAACUUUUUCAUCAAUCUUUCUUUCCUUUUGUGCAACUUUUUCAAAGAUACGUAUAGAAAUAAUAUAUAUAUAUAACAAUAUGUAUAGUAUCCAACUUCAAGAAAAGAGAACAGUUUGAAAACACAAAAAAUUUCAAAUUUCAUAAAUAAAAUCAUCGAAUUGCAGAUCUAUAGGACUUUCAACGCGAAUGAAAUGUUGAAAAAGUCAAGUCUGCUCGCAGCCAAGACUACGUACGAAUGAUAUAAAUAUACUGGGACAAGUUGUUAAAGUUACUAUUCGACAUCUCGACUCGUUGCUUGAUUAACGAGAUACUUAUUUUCAAAGGUAGUAAUUUAUAAUGACAUUUUUUUUCACGUUUUGUGAAUUGAAAAUUGGAAAAAAAAAAGACAUUCACAAAUAAUAUAGUCAAAUCUUCGUGGACAAUUGAUUGUAACAACGAACUGGAAUGUUGGAUUGCAUCUACUAUAUCUACAAUUAUAAAGAGAAAAUUUUUUUUUCAAAAAAAUAUAUUCCCAAUUAUUUAUUUGAUUUUAUAUAUCAAGUAUUGUAAAAGAGCCGAGUCAUUAAACUUGAAUAUACAUGUAGGUUAUCACGAUAUUUGACCUGGUUCUGAUAGUUUCAUAAAAGAUAUUUUCAUAAAAGAAAAAUAACACAUUGUACAUUUCCUUUUUCGUAUUUUUCUUAAUAUAUAUAUAUAUAUAUGGGAGAAUUAAUGCAGAACGUUUAGUCGUUCGAUCACGAUCAAUCAUUUCUUCAUCCUAAAGGGGAAUCGAUGUGAGUCAUUGUCUCGGUCGUGACCUCUUGCUCGAUGACUAAUUUCUCGGCUGAUCUUAUGUUAAAUCACCGCAGAUAUGUGAGAACAACCGACUCUCGCGAACAAUCGCGUUGUGAAGGCGGUUUUCAUUGUUCUGUCUAGUCAUGCACGAUGCGGUCAUAUUCAAAAUUAUAAAGAGCCGAAUCAAAGGUGUAACUCAUUUCCUCCCUCGUCUCUAAAAAUAUCCCACUUUCUUUUUAAAGAUUCGAUCGAUUGAACAAACGUUUAUAUUUUUCAAUCAACUCUUCUCAAGGAAUUUCCAUAGAAACGAACGAACGUACAAGACUUACUAAUGUUUGAAUUAACUUUCUACUGGUAGAGAUGACUAUAUGAAUCGACAUGCGGUUGCUCGAUCGCUGUCUCGUUACGCAAACACCGACAUGGUGAUAAAAAAAAAAAAAAAAAAAAAAAAAAUAA